CUACGGGCUGCUCCAGUGAGGAAUUUUGCGCAAUGGGGGAAACCCUGACGCAGCAACGCCGCGUGAGUGAAGAAGGCUUUCGGGUCGUAAAGCUCUGUCAGAUAGGAAAAAAGUUCAUAUGUAAAUAGCUUAUGAAUCUGAUGGUACUAUCAGAGGAAGCACCGGCUAACUCCGUGCCAGCAGCCGCGGUAAUACGGAGGGUGCAAGCGUUGUUCGGAAUUACUGGGCGUAAAGGGCGUGUAGGCGGUAUGGUAAGUCAGAUGUGAAAGCCCGGGCUUAACUCAGGAAGUGCAUUUGAUACUGCCAUCCUUGAGUAUGGGAGAGGAGAGUAGAAUUCCCAGUGUAGAGGUGAAAUUCGUAGAUAUUGGGAGGAAUACCCGUGGCGAAGGCGACUCUCUGGACCAAUACUGACGCUGAGACGCGAAAGCGUGGGGAGCAAACAGGAUUAGAUACCCGAGUAGUC
rnacentral:rRNA from 1 species